AACGAACGCUGGCGGCAUGCCUAACACAUGCAAGUCGAACGAGACCUUCGGGUCUAGUGGCGCACGGGUGCGUAACGCGUGGGAACCUGCCCUUAGGUUCGGAAUAACUCCCCGAAAGGGGUGCUAAUACCGGAUAAUGUCUUCGGACCAAAGAUUUAUCGCCUUUGGAUGGGCCCGCGUUGGAUUAGCUAGUUGGUAGGGUAAAAGCCUACCAAGGCGACGAUCCAUAGCUGGUCUGAGAGGAUGAUCAGCCACACUGGGACUGAGACACGGCCCAGACUCCUACGGGAGGGAGCAGUGGGGAAUAUUGGACAAUGGGCGGAAGCAUGAUCCAGCAAUGACGCGUGAGUGAUGAAGGCCUUAGGGUUGUAAAGCUAUUUUACCCGGGAUGAUAAUGACAGUACCGGGAGAAUAAGCUCCGGCUAACUCCGUG
rnacentral:rRNA from 1 species